CUAAACCAACCAAACCGCUGAUGAAGUAAAGCACCAAAUUGUAAAAUAUUUUGAUUGCAUGGUUGGUGAAUCUCCAAUUCAGUUUGGUGAGAUUCAUCAGAGGGUGUAGUGGAAAAGAGUUAGCCACGUACGCACUGGCGGAUCUAGGUAGAGGGUGGGGCGGGCUCAAGCCCGUCCAUAAUGAAGCCCACCCGAAGUACGCCCCAGUCCUGACUCCUGAACUCGAAGUUUGGUCUGGAGACUACGGCCUAUUCCAACGCGUUAUUCUCCAGUCUCUCCUCCUCCUCCUCUCGCUUUUUGCAGCUCUGCCCUUCUCCACUUCUCUCAAAGAUCAAGUCGUAUCUACUUCUCUUACUCUCGCUCUUCAAUUUGGGGCAAUGAAUUCAAUUGGAUUGAAGAUUUCAUGGAUUGAAGAAUGAAGGUUGCGGUCAAAAGAGGGAUAGCUGCUACUAUGCUAUCCACAACCAUGACUAAGAGAACAAAGAAGGCUGGAAUCGUCGGGAAAUAUGGAGGCUUCUUUUUGUUUGUUUGUUUAAUUGUGAAUGGCACUAUGAAUUGGAACUAUGAACUGGAACACAAAGUGAAUGGCAAAAGCUUGAGUUCAUUAUUAGAGUAGGUUGAGUAGCUGAAAUCAAAGGGUUCUAUUUGCAAGCUUAGAGAAGAAGAAAAUGCCGGUGCGGGAGAGUAUCCAAUCUCAGUUUUAUUCUCUAUAUUUAAUAUAAAUGUUUCUUUUGAUCAAUUUGUCUAUACAUGAAAUUUCAUAUUGAGUGUAAUAAAAUAAAGAUGUAUAUUUAGCAUUAUGAGGUGCGUGAAUAAAAUUUCUUUUAUAUAUAUACUAGCCUCUUGAUACACACUCUGUGCGUGCCAUUUGGGCAUUUAUUUUUAAAAAUUUGUGAAAAUAAAUAGAGAUUGAAAAACAAAAAAGAAAAUACAUGGAUAGUGGGUAGUUAUUUUCAGUUUUAUGGCUAACAUUAAUUUUACCCUCUCAUGAUGAAAAUGUUGUUAUUCUUCAUAUUAAUAAACUAUGGGCAUUACAGGUACUUCAAAAAUUUAACCAUUCUCUACAGAAUUGGCUUAAUUAAUAAAGAUAUAUUAAACUAUAACUUGUUCAAGUAAAUCUUUAUUUUGUGUCUGGCCCAAACUCUAGGUUACUUGACCUAGUGGUAAUAGGGUUAGUUAGAGAAUCUUAGAGAUUCCUAUUCAAUAUAUGAUUACCUUUCCUUGUAUGAUUCAGAUUAUAUGCAUUGUAAUCCUCUAUAUAAAGAGGAUUACACAGCGAUUUUCUCUCAAUUCCCAUUUCUCUAAAACACGUUAUCAGCACGAAGCCCUAACCCUGAAACCCUAAUUUCGUAGCCCUCAAAUCUCAGCAUCCACCACCCCACAUAUCAGAGCCCUAGCCUCAAGGAAUCCAGAACCGGCGGCGGAACCACCGGAACCAGCCGGAAUCUACCUGAACCGGCCGUCAGAAAAAUCGGACCGGCCCCUACCUUGUGGCUUGUGCCUGCCCCCUGCACAUCUGUCGAGAAGCUGCCGAGCCCCUGCCGACAGCUCCGCACAGGCCCCUGUUGAGAUCUGCCGUCCCCUCGCAGGCCCUGCCGAGCACCUACCGACAGAUUGCCUGCCAGCUCCACACAACCCCUGCGCAGACCCUGUACAACCCCUACAGCAGCACCGCAUAGCCCUGCCUAGCUCCGGCCACCACCGCUGGCCACCAGAUUCCGGCCAAUCUUCUGGCGACCUCCGGCGACAGU